rnacentral:rRNA from 1 species
UACGAAGGGUGCGAGCGUUGCUCGGAAUCACUGGGCGUAAAGGGUGCGCAGGCGGCGUCGCAAGUCAGGCGUGAAAUCCCCGGGCUUAACCUGGGAACUGCACUUGAAACUACGAUGCUGGAGUAUGGCAGAGGGAGGUGGAAUUCCACGUGUAGCGGUGAAAUGCGUAGAGAUGUGGAGGAACACCGAUGGCGAAGGCAGGCCUCUGGGCAUUAACUGACGCUGAGGCGCGAAAGCAUGGGGAGCAAACAGG